AUACCUUCCUGUUGGGGCAAAGCCAUAAUCGGGGUGCUGGGUCUCCUAGAAUGAGGCUAGUCUUUUGAAAGUUGGGUAUGCUAACACCUGCAAUGUCCCCACAUGUGGGAUACUCCACUACAAAAUCUGUGCUAGUGGGGACUGUGUCUGUCCUCUCCCUU